CAUGAGACCCUAUCUCAAAACAAAACAAAUCAAAAUUGCUUGUGAUACAACGGCAGCAUUACAAGUUCCCGUAGUAUAUGAUGUGAUUUCCAGGAGAUUUGGGGAAGAGUGGUUAAGAUGCACAGGAGGUGGUCUCCCAGCAUGCUCCAGUGCAGCAUUUUAAAGUAGUCUCUUUGCAGGUCUGGUCUCAACCCAAGGCCCAAAGAUCCUUCACCCGCAGAGGUGACCCUCAGCACACCACUCCGAGGUUUGGAUCGCCUUUCCUGUGAAUUUCCGAUGUCAACUUCCAAGUCGUGAUUUAAAUCUUGGCUUCUGGCCGUCUUCAAUUCAGAUAUUAGCAAACUCAAGCUGGAAUGCGGCAGUAGGAACCUGAAACCGGGCCAAUGGACUCAGAGAGCCAGUUCGAUUAAGUUCUCCCUAACAAAGUUACUGAGUCCUUUCUCACAGAGUUUAAGUACGCAGGAAUGGCUCUUCCAAACAGUCCAGGUGAAUUGCCGAGUCUCAGUUUCCUGCCCUUGUCACCCCUUGGCCAUCAGAAGGGAGCAGACGGAAGAGAUGCUGAUGGGGGACACCAUGGUGGCCACACCCAGUCCAUCAGACAGCUCAGGGGCAAUGGAGGCUGAGUCAAAGCCUGCAGCUAAACAGCCAGAGGGGACUUGGCACACGUGGGCGUGGCUGCCUGUGCCUGGCCAACUGUUUGAGGCCUGUCUUGCCUUCAUGUUACAUAAUGUGGUUUUUUUGUUUGUUUUUAAUCAGAAAGCUAUAAUAGGCUUUUGGGAGACCGGAGAUCAGCUGCUAAAUCAGCCUUCCUAAGCACGUGACAGGCGUCACUCUCCAGAUAAAUCAGGUCACUUGCAGAAGGUUGGAGGUCCGCAGAGAGUCUCCAUUUACUCCACAAAUCAUCCCGCUCUGUCCUCUGAGGACUGCAUUCCCAGCCUUCCCGGGGACAUCUGUGCAAUGAAUUUAUGGACUCAACUUCCAGCUUCAAGGGGUGGCAGCUUCGAUUAAGGAAAGCGAUAACGUUUGCCGUCAAAACAGAGCCUGGUAGAUGGGGUAGAUUCCUGCCUCUCUCCGGCAGUCUUUCCACAGCUUCUUAAGCAGAGGUUUGGGACCCGGGCAGCAAGGGAACACACCGCCCCUCUGACUGGGUUCAGUGGCUUCUGACCUUCCCUCUUGGUUAACCCAACCAAGCAGCAGAUGAGAGAUAGCUAACGAAAAUGCAAAAGAAUGGGUUGCUGCACCCCCCCCCCAGGAGACAGCGCUCAGUUCUAUCACGCAUGUGGGAUUACUAAGCCACCAGGUGUAUUUUCUCAGCUCUUCUCCAACCCCUGCCCACACACUGGUCCUCCCAACGUGGGUAGGAUCCACAGGACCAUCGCACGAAGUUUCAGCUGCCCCAAAUGGUGAGACUGAGUUUUGACUGUCCUCAGUGGUGCUCUUUAAAAAA